AUGGAGGUCGAGGCGGGUGCGCAUGGUGACACCGCCGCGAGCAAGUUCACGCUGCCCGUGGACUCCGAGCACAAGGCCAAGUCCUUCAGGCUGUUCUCCUUCGCCAACCCGCACAUGCGCACAUUCCACCUCUCCUGGAUCUCCUUCUUCACGUGCUUCGUCUCCACCUUUGCCGCAGCACCGUUGGUGCCCAUCAUCCGCGACAACCUCAACCUCGCCAAGGCUGACAUCGGCAAUGCCGGUGUGGCAUCCGUGUCCGGGUCCAUCUUCUCCAGGCUUGCCAUGGGGGCCGUGUGCGAUCUACUCGGCCCGCGUUAUGGAUGUGCCUUCCUCGUCAUGCUCUCCGCGCCGACUGUAUUUUGCAUGGCAGUCAUCGAUGACGCAUCGGGGUAUAUCGCCGUUCGUUUCCUCAUCGGCUUCUCGCUCGCCACCUUUGUAUCAUGCCAGUAUUGGAUGAGCACAAUGUUCAACAGCAAGAUCAUCGGCACGGUCAACGGCCUAGCGGCUGGGUGGGGCAACAUGGGUGGUGGCGCCACACAGCUCAUCAUGCCACUCGUUUUCCAUGCCAUCCAAAAGUGUGGUGCCACGCCCUUUGUAGCAUGGAGAAUUGCCUACUUCGUGCCAGGAAUGAUGCACAUCGUGAUGGGCUUGCUCGUGCUCACCAUGGGGCAAGAUCUUCCUGACGGAAACCUUGCGAGCCUCCAGAAGAAGGGAGACAUGGCCAAGGACAAGUUCUCCAAGGUCCUUUGGGGUGCCGUCACCAACUACAGGACAUGGAUCUUCGUCCUCCUUUACGGCUACUGUAUGGGCGUUGAGCUCACCACCGACAACGUCAUCGCCGAGUACUACUAUGACCACUUCCACCUAGACCUUCGCGCCGCCGGCACCAUCGCCGCCUGCUUCGGCAUGGCCAACAUUGUGGCGCGUCCUAUGGGUGGCUACCUCUCUGACCUUGGUGCUCGCUACUUCGGCAUGCGUGCUCGCCUUUGGAACAUCUGGAUCCUCCAGACCGCUGGUGGAGCUUUCUGCAUCUGGCUCGGUCGUGCAUCGGCCCUCCCAGCCUCAGUCACAGCUAUGGUCCUCUUCUCCAUUUGCGCGCAAGCUGCCUGUGGUGCUGUCUUUGGCGUCGCACCCUUUGUUUCCAGGCGUUCUCUUGGUAUCAUCUCCGGGCUGACCGGCGCGGGUGGCAACGUGGGUGCGGGGCUCACACAACUUCUCUUCUUCACUUCGUCACAAUACUCCACCGGUAGGGGUCUUGAGUACAUGGGCAUUAUGAUCAUGGCAUGCACGCUGCCUGUCACCCUCGUGCACUUCCCACAGUGGGGUUCCAUGUUCUUUCCAGCCAGCGCAGAUGCCACAGAGGAGGAGUACUAUGCCUCCGAGUGGUCCGAGGAGGAGAAGAACAAGGGUCUCCAUAUUGCCGGCCAAAAGUUUGCCGAGAACUCCCGCUCGGAGCGUGGCAGGCGCAAUGUCAUCCUUGCUACAUCCGCAACGCCACCCAACAACACGCCCCAACAUGUGUAG
rnacentral:rRNA from 1 species